rnacentral:rRNA from 1 species
UACGUAGGUGGCAAGCGUUGUCCGGAAUUAUUGGGCGUAAAGCGCGCGCAGGCGGUCCUUUAAGUCUGAUGUGAAAGCCCACGGCUCAACCGUGGAGGGUCAUUGGAAACUGGGGGACUUGAGUGCAGAAGAGGAGAGUGGAAUUCCACGUGUAGCGGUCGAAAUGCGUAGAGAUGUGGAGGAACACCAGUGGCGAAGGCGACUCUCUGGUCUGUAACUGACGCUGAGGCGCGAAAGCGUGGGGAGCAAACAGGAUUGAG